rnacentral:rRNA from 1 species
AUUGAACGCUGGCGGCAGGCCUAACACAUGCAAGUCGAGCGGUAGCACAGAGAGCUUGCUCUCGGGUGACGAGCGGCGGACGGGUGAGUAAUGUCUGGGAAACUGCCUGAUGGAGGGGGAUAACUACUGGAAACGGUAGCUAAUACCGCAUAAUGUCGCAAGACCAAAGUGGGGGACCUUCGGGCCUCAUGCCAUCAGAUGUGCCCAGAUGGGAUUAGCUAGUAGGUGGGGUAACGGCUCACCUAGGCGACGAUCCCUAGCUGGUCUGAGAGGAUGACCAGCCACACUGGAACUGAGACACGGUCCAGACUCCUACGGGAGGCAGCAGUGGGGAAUAUUGCACAAUGGGCGCAAGCCUGAUGCAGCCAUGCCGCGUGUGUGAAGAAGGCCUUCGGGUUGUAAAGCACUUUCAGCGGGGAGGAAGGCGAUAAGGUUAAUAACCUCAUCGAUUGACGUUACCCGCAGAAGAAGCACCGGCUAACUCCGUGCCAGCAGCCGCGGUAAUACGGAGGGUGCAAGCGUUAAUCGGAAUUACUGGGCGUAAAGCGCACGCAGGCGGUCUGUCAAGUCGGAUGUGAAAUCCCCGGGCUCAACCUGGGAACUGCAUUCGAAACUGGCAGGCUAGAGUCUUGUAGAGGGGGGUAGAAUUCCAGGUGUAGCGGUGAAAUGCGUAGAGAUCUGGAGGAAUACCGGUGGCGAAGGCGGCCCCCUGGACAAAGACUGACGCUCAGGUGCGAAAGCGUGGGGAGCAAACAGGAUUAGAUACCCUGGUAGUCCACGCCCGUAAACGAUGUCGAUUUGGAGGUUGUGCCCUUGAGGCGUGGCUUCCGGAGCUAACGCGUUAAAUCGACCGCCUGGGGAGUACGGCCGCAAGGUUAAAACUCAAAUGAAUUGACGGGGGCCCGCACAAGCGGUGGAGCAUGUGGUUUAAUUCGAUGCAACGCGAAGAACCUUACCUGGUCUUGACAUCCACAGAACUUUCCAGAGAUGGAUUGGUGCCUUCGGGAACUGUGAGACAGGUGCUGCAUGGCUGUCGUCAGCUCGUGUUGUGAAAUGUUGGGUUAAGUCCCGCAACGAGCGCAACCCUUAUCCUUUGUUGCCAGCGGUUAGGCCGGGAACUCAAAGGAGACUGCCAGUGAUAAACUGGAGGAAGGUGGGGAUGACGUCAAGUCAUCAUGGCCCUUACGACCAGGGCUACACACGUGCUACAAUGGCAUAUACAAAGAGAAGCGACCUCGCGAGAGCAAGCGGACCUCAUAAAGUAUGUCGUAGUCCGGAUUGGAGUCUGCAACUCGACUCCAUGAAGUCGGAAUCGCUAGUAAUCGUAGAUCAGAAUGCUACGGUGAAUACGUUCCCGGGCCUUGUACACACCGCCCGUCACACCAUGGGAGUGGGUUGCAAAAGAAGUAGGUAGCUUAACCUUCGGGAGGGCGCUUACCACUUUGUGAUUCAUGACUGGGGUGA